CUGAACAACCUCAAAGCCUUACCUUUUGUAAAGGAACACUUGCAAGCCUAAGUGAAAAAGAAGAGUCUUUAAAAGAAGCUUGCAUAGAUAAAAAUGAAAUAGAUUAUUUCUCAUAUGUGCUAGGAUAUCACCAAGUGAAUGUCAAGUUUUUUAUAAGCAUCUACAAAAACAAAUUUUUAUGUGAAGUAGGGCCUAAAGAAACUUGUCAUGUCUUAUUGAGAGAACCAUUGCAAAGUGUACAAAUCCUUAUAAACAAUGGUUGUCAC
rnacentral:lncRNA from 1 species